GCGGCUGAGUAGUGUAAUUACUUAUUUUAUACAGUAAUAGUUAUUACCUAUGAUGGGGAACAGUAUGUGCAUUUUAGCAUGUACCACGGCGUUAUUACGGUUAUCUUUGACCAUAAGGAUACUGCAAAGCUAUGGCAUCUGGUUUGUUAAGUUGGAUUACCCUCUAACUUACUUUACUGUCUAAAAAUUUUAUUAUCCUUUCAGACCUUGGUAAGCCAGCGUCUUUGAGUGGUUUAUCUUUUUUUUUCGGGCUAACGGGGUAGGAUCGAUUUUGUCGAAUAAAGUUCUAGGUUUUUUUUUGAUUAUGACAUAAAUAUACCUAUAUGUCUUGACCAAAUUACGUGCCAGCAGUCGCGGCAAUACGUAGAANACUAGUGUUAUUCAUCUUUAGUAGGUUUAAAGGGUACCUAGACGGUAAAAGUUCAUCUUAAACAGGAUAUGUCUUUACUAGAGUUUUAUAUAAGGAGGUGAGUAUUUGUGGAGUAGAGUUGAAAUUCUUUGAUACCAUAACGACUGGUUAAGGCGAAAGCAACCUUUUAUCUAAUAACUGACGUUGAGGGACGAAGGCUCGGGUCACGAACAGGAUUAGAUACCCUAGUAGUCCAAGCAGAAAAUGAUGAAUGCCAUAGGUUAGAUUGUAUCCUUAGUCGUUUGAUGAAGGUGUCUAUUUUUUAGUCUAUAAAUGAAAGUGUAAGCAUUUCACCUCAAGAGUAAUGUGGCAACGCAGGAACUGAAAUCAUUAGACCGUUUCUGAAACCAGUAGUGAAGUAUGUUAUUUAAUUNGUAGGCACGCGAAAAACCUUACCACAAUUUGAAUAUUAUCAUAAGUGCCUUUUAUUUUUUUUUUUAGAAAAAAUCUUACAACUUUAGAUAUUACAAGCGUUGCACGGCUGUCUUCAGUUAAUGUCGUGAGAUAUAGGUUGAAUCCUUUAAAUUAACGGAAGCCCUUGCUUUAUUUGAGCCUGAGUACUAAAAAGUUUAGCCACUAAGUUAAGUCAGCGCUGACUUUGGUAGAAGUGUCUUUAGGAGGCGUCAUCUUGAUCUUAGCUUAUGCUAUAACUUUUAUACUAUGGGAAUAAAGCAGUUCACCGCGUACAUUGGAU
rnacentral:rRNA from 1 species